UGUAUGUGUUUAAGAUGAAAACGGGUAUUGUGUCAUUUUUCAAAUCAAUGUAAAUAUUUGGUUGGGCUUAAUUAGUUACUUCAACUGUAAAUUAUAAAACAUCAGAAAGCCAUAUUUGUAUGUGAUAGUUAAGGGAAGCCAAUUUUUUAAAGUGUGUCUCUUUUGCAGAUUAAAAAAAUAUCAGAAAAACAUACGUUAUAGUUGAAUUAUGGCUCUAAAAGUAAAAGUUAUAAAAUUUCGCACUUGAACUGUUGGACUUGAAAGUUGAACUGAAGUCGGUCAAAACGAAAAUCGAAAUACGAAUCGCAAAAUCAUAAAAAAACAACAACAACAACAAAAAAAAACCCAGUCUUUCUCUAGUCUUAGGACAACAUUGUGUGAACUAUGGAUCCAGUUACAAGCAUGCUCAUGUUGAAAUACAGCAGCCCUCAAGCUUGAUGCAAGUUGGUUCUGAUGUUAUACAGUAGGAGUGGCUUAAUGCAUUUCUUUGGUCAAAAGAUGCUAGGGAAAGUGGAGAGGAAAGUUACAGUUUUCAAAGAUACUUACUCCUACACCAGUAGUUCAAGUCAACUAAUGUUUCUGUGUUCCUGUAUGAAAUUCAUUAACAGGGCCAUCUGGUAGCUAGCGAAGAAGUCGUUGUGGUUUUUUUGUUUUUAAUGAAAACGUUUUUGUGUGUGUACAUAUAUUAUGAUUUUUGAUUUUCAAUAUAAUUCACACAUUUCAUGUCUGAUAAUUUGUUUCUACUUUACAUUUUGUUAGUUUGUAAUAGUAUCAUUCUGAAACAGAGGGAACUAAAUGCGUUUGUGUGUAACCAAUUAGACAUACUUUUUUUUUUUCCCCACAAACUUUGGAAUUUUCUGCCCAAUAAGAUUUGCAGUGAGUUAUUGAAGUAAUAAUAAUACUUGUUGUUCUUUAAUUAGUUUUACUGAAGAAACACCAAGUGUAUUCUUGAAAAAUAGAAAUUUUAUAAAAGUCAUUUAUUGUAUGUUGAGAUUAAUGGGUUGUACAACUGUUCAAAGAUUUAAAUAAAAUGCUCAUUGAGAUUGA
rnacentral:lncRNA from 1 species